CAGCUUUUUGCAAUGGAGGCUUUGAAUGCAACAAGAAUCCCAAAUCGGUUUGCUACAAACAUAAUACAAUGCCAUAAGGCCUGGGGUGUCUACAUAUGGACCACCUGGGUUUAUUCUGCUACUCCAAUGGGGAGCAACAUGUUUUUGGAAAAAGGUCAUGUUCUCAGGUCUUAUUGUGUCUAUGAUGUGGGGAAGGAGCAGAGAUAACAACAAAACAAAUUCAUAUAACCUAAAUGAUCUACUUUAUGGACUAGAACAAUCUUAUUGAGGAAAUCACUAGCACUUUUUAGCCAGUAAAAUGUUAUUGUAAGGCACAUUUAAGAAAUAACAGCACAGACUAAGAUUUCUUAAUUUUUUUCAUCCAUUUGCAUUCAUGAAGCACAUUUAUAGAGGCUAUCAUAUUUCAUCUUCAAAACAACCCUGACCCAGAGGUAUUAUUAUCCUCACUUUUUUUUAUAGGGCAACUGAAACUCAGAGAUGGAAAAUAAAUUGCCAAGAGCUAUAUAGUGAAAAAGUGGCAGAAAGCUGAGUAUAGAAUUCUUUUAUUUUGUUGAAACUACCUUGAAUGUAGGAGGGUCCCAGAAUAAAAGAAAUUUUAAAAACUGUAGCCAUACAAAGGAAAGAAAUACUUCCAAUAAAAGCAUGACAUUAAGCCUUUUUAAAAUUAGAAUUUGUAUUUUAUACUUACUUAAGGAUCUCUUUUAGACUUAUUUAUAACUUUAUUUUAAUCCUAUAUUGCCAUUAAGGAUACAUAAAAGGAAAUUAUAAGCAAAAUAAACUAGUUAAAAUAUUCCAAAAAUUAUUUUAUAUUCAGAGCCUAAUUCAUUCUGAAUCAUUUAGUCAAUCCCAGUCAUGAAAGUCUUGUGACUUUUUAUUAUGUAACAGUUUUUGUCAUAAAAGAAACCAUCCUGAAACCCAGUGGCUUAAAAGCAAUAAGCUUUAGUUGUUACUCAGGAAUCUGAGUUAGUUAAGAGGCUCUGCUGAUCUGAGCUGAGCUCUACUGUUCUUGCUGGGGCUUGCCCAUACAUUUUUGGCUGGCUGUCUAUUUGGCUAGGAGCUAGCUGGUCAAGAACAGCCUCACUCACAUGCCUGGUGGCUGGCCAGUUAUUGGCUAGGGUAUGAGGAAAACCAAACCAUGCAUUUUUUUUUUUUUUUUUUUUAGACAGGGUCUGCCUCUGUCACCCAGGCUGGAGUGUAGUGACACAAUCUUGGCCCACUGCAACCUCCACCUCCUGUGCUCAAGCAAUCCUCCCACCUCAGCCUCCCAAGUAGCUGGGACUACAGGUGCAUACCACCACACCCAGCUUUUUUUCUUUUUUAGUAGAGACAGGGUUUCACCAUGUUGCCCAGGCUGGUCUCGAACUCCCGACCUCAAGCAACUCACCUAGCUUGGCCUCCCAAAGUGCUGGGAUUACAGGUGUGAGCCACUGGGUCCAGCUAAACCAUGCAUCUCUAAUCAUCCCAUAGGCUAGUUUGUUCUUGUAGCAACUAGGGAGGGAACAGAAAGUCAUAAGGCCUGUUGGACCUAGGUUUACAACAGGUAUAGUGCCACUUCUGCUGUGUUCUAUUGGCUAAAGCCAGUCACAAGGGCAUCCCAGAUUCAAGAGAUAGGGAAAUAAAUUUUACCUCUCAAUGGGAGAAACUACAAAUGCACUUUGCUUAGAACAUGUAGACUGUGUACGUGUGGAAAUUUAGAACUAUUUUUAUAAUUAAUCUACCACACAAAAGUUUUUUUAAAAAAAUUCUUUGGCCCUUCUGAAUAAUUUUCCACUUUGAAAGGUCAAUAUCUAGUGAUUUACCACCCAAUUUUAUCUUCUGGUUUAUUAAGAACAUUUCUUAGAAGAGUUCUCUGUUAUCUCUGUAAUUUUCUUCCAAGCAACUGAUACCCAUUCUAUAGUUUUAAUAUUGACUCUUUCUUGAUAUUUUUGGCAGGGAGCAUAAUGAAAAUAGCAACAUAAAUUAGUCACACCAAGCUUUCUUUUACUUAUUCUUACAAAUUUGGAGGUUUCCCUAACCCUAGUUGCAUUGUUUGGCCUGUGUAGUGGGCUAAAUGGUGGCCUCAAAGAAAUCAGAUUCUAAUUCCUGGAAACCGUAAAUAUUACCUUAAUUGGAAGAAGGGUCUUUGCAGAUAUGAUUAACGAUUUUGAGAUGGAGAGAUUAUCCUUGGUUGUUUGGGUAGGCCCUAAAUGCCAUCACAAGUGUCCUUAUAAGAGAAAGGGAGAGGGGGAUUUGAUGCACAGAAGAGAAAAUGGUGAUGUGAAGACAGAAGUAGAGAUUUAAAUGAUGCAGCCACAAACAAAGGAAGAGUAGCAGCCACCAGAAACCAGAAGAGGCAAGGAAGAGAUUGUCCCCUAAAGCCUCCAAGGGAACAUGGCUCCGCCUACACCUUGAUUUCAACCCAACAAAACUGUCAUUGAACUUCCAGCCUCCAGAACUAAGAGAAGAGUAAAUUAUUGUCAGCUGAAGGCACCAAGUUUGUGGAAAUUUAUUAAGGCAGCCACAGGAAACUAAUACAGCCUGUGUUAGGCAAUCCUUUGCAUGUAUCUCAGUAACCAAAUAUCACAGGAUCAUCUACUUAUUGUUUACUUUUUUUCUUAUGCCCCAAAAAGCACUUUGAUGUUAAUUUGUAAGAAAAUAUGGAAUUAUGGAUAUUCUUCCAAUGGCAAAUGCCUUUGUUACUACACAUUGAUUCUCUAUUUCCAUUACUUUCUAUGCAUAAAAUAACAUUUUUUCAAUAUGGAAUCAGAGCAUAAUCUUUGUAAAGACAUUCUUCAACUGCAGUUGAAUCCAUUAUAGCUCCGACAAUACAAAUUGUUGAAACAAAGAGACCAAUGUUAAGAUGCAUCCUGAUUUUAGAAAUGUGAAAAUGGGCCAGGCGUGGUAAUUCACAUCUAUAAUCUCUGUACUCUGGGAGGCCAAGGCGGGUGGAUCACUUGAAGUCAGGAGUUCGAGUCCAGCCUGCCCAACAUGAUAAAACCCCAUCUCUACUAAAAAUACAAAAAUUAGCCAGGUGUGGUGGUGUGUGACUGUAAUCCCAGCUACUCCAGAGGCUGAGGCAGCAGAAUCACUUGAACUCAGG
rnacentral:lncRNA from 1 species